rnacentral:rRNA from 1 species
GUAAAGCUCUUUCAGCCGGGAAGAAAUCACAUGGGUUAAUACCCUGUGUGGAUGACGGUACCGGAAUAAGAAGCACCGGCAACUACGUGCCAGCAGCCGCGGUAAUACGUAGGUGCGAGCGUUAAUCGGAAUUACUGGGCGUAAAGCGUGCGCAGGCGGUUUGUUAAGAUAGGCGUGAAAUCCCCGGGCUCAACCUGGGAACUGCGUUUAUGACUGGCAGGCUAGAGUAUGGCAGAGGGGGGUGGAAUUCCACGUGUAGCAGUGAAAUGCGUAGAGAUGUGGAGAACACCGAUGGCGAAGGCAGCCCCCUGGGCCAAUACUGACGCUCAGCACGAAAGCGUGGGUAGCAAACAGGAUUAGAUACCCUGGUAGUCCACGCCCUAAACGAUGUCAACUAGGUGUUGGGUGGGUAAAACCAUUUAGUACCGGAGCUAACGCGUGAAGUUGACCGCCUGGGGAGUACGGCCGCAAGGUUAAAACUCAAAGGAAUUGACGGGGACCCGCACAAGCGGUGGAUGAUGUGGAUUAAUUCGAUGCAACGCGAAAAACCUUACCUACCCUUGACAUGUCCAGAAGCUCUUAGAGAUUUGAGUUGCCCGAAAGGGAACUGGAACACAGGUGCUGCAUGGCUGUCGUCAGCUCGUGUCGUGAGAUGUUGGGUUAAGUCCCGCAACGAGCGCAACCCUUGUCGUUAAUUGCCAUCAUUUAGUGGGCACUUUAACGAGACUGCCGGUGACAAACCGGAGGAAGGUGGGGAUGACGUCAAGUCCUCAUGGCCCUUAUGGGUAGGGCUUCACACGUCAUACAAUGGUCGGUACAAAGGGUUGCCAACCCGCGAGGGGGAGCUAAUCCCAGAAAGCCGAUCGUAGUCCGGAUCGUAGGCUGCAACUCGCCUGCGUGAAGUCGGAAUCGCUAGUAAUCGUGGAUCAGCAUGUCACGGUGAAUACGUUCCCGGGUCUUGUACACACCGCCCGUCACACCAUGGGAGCGGGUUCCGCCAGAAGUAGGUAGCCUA